AACGAACGCUGGCGGCAGGCCUAACACAUGCAAGUCGAACGCCGUAGCGAUACGGAGUGGCAGACGGGUGAGUAACGCGUGGGAACAUACCCCUCGGUUCGGAAUAACUCAGGGAAACUUGAGCUAAUACCGGAUAAGUCCGAGGUUUUUAAUCGACCUUGGAGAAAGAUUUAUCGCCGGAGGAUUGGCCCGCGUCUGAUUAGCUUGUUGGUGAGGUAAUGGCUCACCAAGGCGACGAUCAGAGCUGGUCUGAGAGGAUGAUCAGCCACAUUGGGACUGAGACACGGCCCAAACUCCUACGGGAGGCAGCAGUGGGGAAUAUUGGACAAUGGGCGAAAGCCUGAUCCAGCCAUGCCGCGUGAGUGAAGAAGGCC
rnacentral:rRNA from 1 species